AACGUAGGACGCAAGCGUUAUCCGGAGUUACUGGGCGUAAAGCGCGGGCAGGCGGUCUUGCCAGUCUGAUGUGAAAUCACCGUGCUCAACACGGCGAAGCCAUUGGAAACUACAAGACUGGAGACUGGCAGAGGUAGGCGGAAUUCCGGGUGGAGUGGUGAAAUGCGUAGAGAUCCGGAGGAACACCAGAGGCGAAGGCGGCCUACUGGGCCAGUACUGACGCUGAGCCGCGAAAGCCAGGGGAGCGAACGGG
rnacentral:rRNA from 1 species